rnacentral:rRNA from 1 species
UGACCUCAAAUCAGGUAGGACUACCCGCUGAACUUAAGCAUAUCAAUAAGCGGAGGAGGGCUAGAGCGGCCGCCACCGCGGUGGAGCUCCAGCUUUUGUUCCCUU